CAAGAAACCUGGAUCCCGGUUGAAGGCUCCCCAGGGACCUCAAAGUUCCGUGACCUCUCAUUUUCUCUUUCAGUUUGCAAGCUUGACUUAGCGAAAGCAGUUCCCAUCACCAGUUCCAAGUUUGAAAUGGCAGUUAUUCUAAAACUCCGUGCAAUCGUGCUGAUAAUAGACACUCUUUCUUCGUAGUUUCCUCGCACCAGGCUCAGGGGCAUAGCUCAGUGGUAGAGCAACUGACUCAUUCCCGAUGUGAGAUCUGAAGAUGUGUGACUUGUUCCAGUCUCCUGCAGAGCUGGCACGUGGCCAAGCCUUUCUCCAGAGUUCAAAUCCUAUGGCAUAUGUCGUUAGGCUUUGGGGCUCUGGGAGAUGGUUUUUGUUCUUUGGUUUUUUGUUUGUUUGUGUUUUCUUGGUUUUUUGGGUUUUGUUGUUGUUGUUGUUUGUUUUUUUGAGACCAGCUCUCCUCGUGUGGCCCAGGCUGGCUUUGAUGAUGUCUCCCCUGACCUCUUCCUACACGGCAAGGAAUCCACCGGAAAUAAAGAGGCAGAGCAACCUACCAAAA
rnacentral:lncRNA from 1 species